rnacentral:rRNA from 1 species
AAGUCAAUUCUGCCCAAUGAUUUUAAAUAAUUAAAUGGCUGCGGUAUAAUUGACUGUACAAAGGUAGCAUAAUCAAUUGUUUUUUAAUUAAAAACUGGAAUGAAAGAGUUAAUGAGAUAUACACUGUCUCAUAUAUAUUAAAUUAAUUUAAAUUUUUAGUUAAAAUGCUAAAAUUAAUUUAUGGGACGAUAAGACCCUAUAGAAUUUUAUAUUAAUAUUUUAAUUAUAAUUUUAUUAUUGAAUAUUAAUAUUUUGUUGGGAGGAUAGGUAAAUUUAUUAAACUUUAUUUUAAAUAUCAACUUUAAUUAAAGAAUAUAUUUUGAUCUUUUAGUAAAAAUGAAAAGAGUAAAUUACCUUAGGGAUAACAGCGUAAUAUCUUUUUAAAGAUCUUAUUGAAAAAGAUGAUUGCGACCUCGAUGUUGAAUUAAGAUAAAUUUUAAAUGAAGAAAUUUAAUAAUUAAGUCUG